AUCUUGCCAAAAAAUUGAUCAAAUUGUUAACAGACUCUCCACUUAAUUCUCUUCUAACCAACUUUAGAAUUUCCAUAAUCUGCAAUUAUCAAAAUGAAAGACUCAAUGAGUAAACGGAUUUUAUUUUAUUUUCUAAGGAAAAAUGAAAAUUAAUAUUAAUUUUAAGAAUAUACUGGGCAUCACACCACUAGUGAUGCAUAACCAUAAAGAAGAUGAGUUCUAGUAAAAAAGCCACCAAAGAAAAACCUACUUACUAAGUUUUCCAGGGUUGAGAUGUACAGAGAUUUUUAUUGGUAGCAAUUUUAUAUCCCUCUUUUCCCCUUCUCGAGUUACUGGAUGAACACAGUUUAAUACAUGUGGAAAGGUAAAUUUUCUUUUUCUUUUGAAUUGUCAUAGCGCAUAUACAAAGUCUGUCCCUGGAUAAAGGUAAGUAGGUAACCACAAAAAAAGAUUUCUCUUCAUACCUAUCUUAUCAUUAACAACUUCAAGGAAGCAAUGAACUCAACCACAUAAACAGACACAAGUGCGUGCACACAAAAUAGUAUUAAAUAACAUCAUUAGUGUAACCAACAGAAGAGAAGUAUCUUACUCCAGGAUAGUGUUGCAAUAUCGGAGAAUAAUGAUCUAGUGCUAUGUAUAUUUUUUCGAGAAGGCUUAGAAGAGUAUCCACCUCGUCACCUAAAAGAUCAACCUCAGCUUCAGCCUUUUGAAGGUCUGAACACCUCUUUUCAAGCCUCUGCUUGUACAGCAACCCUGUCUUUUUAAGUUUGAUAGCUUCCUGAAUGAGAGAACUCAAUUGAGAGCUCAAAGCUUCCAACCUCAAUCUAUUCAUUUUAAUAUCUUCAGUUGCCCGGUAUUCAAAAUCAUUAACUGCUUUUUCCAAUCCUUGGAUAAGAACAAUAGUUGAAUUCAUUUGCUUCCUAUAUUCUCUUUCUCUUGCCUCGGCUGAUGAUAUAGUAUUCUGAUACUGUUGGGAAGUAGAAAGAAGCAAACUUUUCUCCUCAUCUGCUUCUCUUAACUUUUUCGUUACUAUCUCAAGCUGCUCUCUCAACUUGGAGAUCUCCAUUUUAUCCAUUUCAAUUUUCUCUGAUGCAUUAACCAAAUCACCUUUGAUAACUUGUAAGUCUUCAUUAUAUUUUGAAAGCUGCUGAGUUGUCUGAAGCCUUAACUCAUCAAGCUCUUGAGAAACUAACUCAACUUUCUCCUUCUCUUUCGUCAACACCCCCACUCUUUCUUGAAUCAAAUUGCCUUUUUCUUCAAUCGCUGCCCUUAGUAAGAGCAUCUUUUGCUCCAAUUUUUCUCUCUCAGCAAUAUUCAAUCUCAAUUCCUUUUCUUUUUCCGAAGCUUGCAUCUCAAGGGAUACUCGGACUUUACUUUCAUUCAUAUAUUUCAGGUUCAAGGUACCAACUUUCUCCUCAGCUUCCUUGAAGGAUUCUCUAAAAAUAACUUCGCAUAUCCCUUGCAUGAUAAUGGACUCUAUAACUGAAUCUUCAAUCUCUAAAUUACCAGUAGGCUCAACAUUGCGAGUAGCUUCUUUGAAUAUGAUUUCAUAAAUUCCAUCCAUGAUGUCAUGCUCGAUAUCUAACUCUUCUAUGAAGCUUUUCAUUUGGUUGACCAUCUCCUUGAGAAGGAAUUUAUAAAGAUCAUCACUGAUUGAAGCUUCAAUGUUUGCAUCUUCGAUAACGCAUUUAAGAUCUUCAAACAUUCUUGAUAACUUCUCCUCUGCCAAAGAGUGUUCUUGUAUUUUCUCUGCAGCAUCAGAAACUUUUGAGGAAAGACAUUUAAUUUCCUUUUUCUUAUCCAAGAGCAAGUCUCUUAGUUGGCGAUUUUCUAAACAAAGUGAUUCCAGUCUAUCCUUCAAAUUGUUUAGACAAUCUCCAUUGUUACUAAAUGAAGGCAGUUUCUCAUUUUCCAUUAGAAUGCCAUCCAAUUUUAGAAUGACCUCUGGUAUCUUUUUCCUCAACGAAUCAAACUCCUUAUCCUUCCUCACUGGCACAGAAGAACCCCUUUCCUUCAAGUACUCCCUCUUCAAACUGAAAAAUUCUUCUGUCAUUUGUUGCACUUUUAACUCAUGGUCUCUCCUUAUUUUAGUCAUCUCAGACUUAAAAUAAUUAAAUAAUUCUUCCUUUGAGAAGUGCUUUAGUUGUGCAUAAUCCAUAUUUUCUGGAACAACAGUUAUUGAAUCAUCAUGUUUGCCAUUUCCUUCCCAAAGUGAAGUGGACGAAAUAUGAUUAACUGAAGCCUUUCGGUGCUCCAAGGAACCAUGUGAAAUUAAAUGUCCACUUUCAGGAACAGACAAUGAUUUAGAGAUGGCAUCUAACUCCUGACGGAAACUUGUAAUCUCUUUGAUCUUUUCAAGCCAAUUUGCACUCUCAUUACCAUAAGAUUUAGCAUUUUGGUCCCACAGUCUCUGUUCAAACUCUUCUUGAAAACUCUGAAUACAAUUCUUGAUCGCUAUUCCUUCAAUUUCUGCUUGAAAUUCUCUCUCCUGCCGCCAGUCAAAGUGCAAUGACUUGGACAAGCAAACCAUAUCUUCUGCAUGCACGAAGGCAGAUUCCAGAGUAGUUCUAAGACCAUCAAGUGCCCUGUCCACAUCAAUCCAUUUUUCGGGCAUGUUUUCCUCUAGAAUACCACUCAAUCCCAAAGAACCAGAACCCUUCCUAAUCCUGUCAAUUUCUUUCUUGAGCUUUUUAAAUUGAUCUUUCGCUGCAAUUUUAAGGUUGCCCAAAAAAUCUUGUAAUCUCUCAUGAUCUACUGUGCCAUUUGAAUGGGAGGAAUAAAGCCCAUAUUUUCUGCUCUUUUGUUCAUGGCACAUCAUUGAAUACUUCAUGGAUUCAUUUCCAUCUACACCCACAUGGUAAAGAUGUAACGUCUCUUUUAAUUUAGCCAACUCUGAUUCUUUCUGAGCAAUCUUUUCUGCUGCCUCCUGUUCAACAGCACAUAUCAUACCCUUGACAACUGAAUCACUCACCAUUCUUGACACAACCAACCGCUCCUUUAUAUCUUCCCAAUAUGUCUCCAGAUCAUUAAGGAUGUCCACACCCAGAUUCUCAUUCUCCUCAUCAGUGUCACGAUGAUGCACUGUACCACUGUUGCAUGAACUGAGACCAGCAUCCAUAUUGAUUGACGUCUCCAAAAACUCUGGACUCUCCAUCCACUUUCAAUGAAACACAAACACCACCAAAACUCAAAGUGACAAUGCAGAAGAACAAGCUAAAUUACCCAUAAAAGCUUCAACCCAUAAGAAUCCAUGCCCCGAAUAAGAAAAUAGGUUCUGGCGACCAAUCUGAGAAAAUAAAAACUCAAAAUUCAGGAAAGAAAAAAUCAAGAAGCGCUUGAAAAUCCCAAUACAGCCACUGAAUUUAGUUAAAAAAAGCUGCUUCAAAGGAAAGGUUCUACCUUUCCCCUCGU
rnacentral:misc_RNA from 1 species